rnacentral:rRNA from 1 species
GACGUAGGGCGCGAGCGUUGUCCGGAUUUAUUGGGCGUAAAGAGCUCGUAGGCGGCUCGGUAAGUCAGGUGUGAAACCUCCAGGCUCAACCUGGAGACGCCACCUGAUACUGCCGUGGCUAGAGUCCGGUAGAGGAGCGUAGAAUUCCUGGUGUAGCGGUGAAAUGCGCAGAUAUCAGGAGGAAUACCAGCGGCGAAGGCGGCGCUCUGGGCCGGUACUGACGCUGAGGAGCGAAAGCGUGGGGAGCAAACAGG